rnacentral:rRNA from 1 species
UACGUAGGGGGCAAGCGUUGUCCGGAUUUAUUGGGCGUAAAGAGCGUGUAGGCGGCUAUACAGGUCCGUUGUGAAAACUCGAGGCUCAACCUCGAGACGCCGAUGGAAACCGUAUGGCUAGAGUCCGGAAGAGGAGAGCGGAAUUCCUGGUGUAGCGGUGAAAUGACGCAGAUAUCAGGAAGAACACCCGUGGCGAAGGCGGCUCUCUGGGACGGUACUGACGCUGAGGCACGAAGGCCAGGGGAGCAAACGGG